AAUCAACGCUGGCGGCGUGCCUAACACAUGCAAGUCGCGCGCGAAUAGGGGGCAACCCCUUAGUAGAGCGGCGAACGGGUGAGUAACACGUGGGUAAUCUACCUUCGAGUGGGGAACAACAUCGGGAAACUGGUGCUAAUUCCGCAUGACAUCGUCGGGGCUUCGGUCCUGACGAUCAAAGCCGGGGAUCGCAAGACCUGGCGCUUGAAGAUGAGCCCGCGUCCGAUUAGCUAGUGGCGGGGUAAUGGCCCACCAAGGCUUCGAUCGGUAGCCGGCCUGAGAGGGCGGACGGCCACACUGGAACUGAGACACGGUCCAGACUCCUACGGGAGGCAGCAGUGGGGAAUUUUUCGCAAUGGGGGGCAACCCUGACGAAGCAACGCCGCGUGGGGGAUGAAGGUCUUCGGAUUGUAAACCUCUUUCAGCCUUGACGAAGCGAAAGUGACGGUAGGGGCAGAAGAAGCACCGGCCAACUACGUGCCAGCCGCCGCAGUAAC
rnacentral:rRNA from 1 species